GCAAGGCGGGCCGGUGACUAUGGUGUCGGCGAGGAAGUGCGAGUCGCAGAGCUUCCGCUUCAAGGGACCUUGCUCGAGGGACGCCAACUGCGCAAACGUCUGCCUGACCGAAGGUUUCACCGGCGGCGUGUGCAAGGGCCUACGCCACCGCUGCUUCUGCACCAGGGACUGCUAGUACUGCCUCGUCUCGCCUCGCCUCGGCUCGUGUCCUGCGUGUGCAUAGCCGCAGCGGAUCAGUAAAACAUGCAUGCAUGCGUUACCGAAUAUUUGGCAGUACCAGCAAGUUAAUGGAUUAAAUAAUAUGUAAUGGAACAAAGCCUGUUUUGAACGUGGAACUGCUGAGUGCUAGCAGCGCUCGUGUUUAUUGGCAUAUAUGAACUCUAU
rnacentral:lncRNA from 1 species